CAUAUUCCAUCUCAGAAUUAAUUAGUUUCUUGCUUUAAUAUUUACAGUUUCCACUUUGUGAUUCAUGUGAAAAACAAUUCAACACACAGAGCAGCUGUUGCAGCUCUGAAUAGCUAGCAGAUGGUGUUUCUAUUUCCUAUAAUAUUGGAAAACAACAGAAUGAUGGAAAGUUUAAGAAAGUCAAAGAAGUGGUGAGUCACAGCCUGAAGGAAAUCUUUUGGUUGCAACACAGAAAUAUUGAGCAGCUCAUGGACCCGAUCACACCAUCAACAUGUGGUUGUUUCCGCUUUGGACACAGUUAAUCAGCACCAGAACCAACAAUUCUCAAUCCUCAAAGCAAUAGCCUUUCCCAUGUAUAUAUCCUCCCUUGAAGGUGGGGUAUGCAAUUCUGGAGGAAUCCAAUACCAUGACAAAUACCGUGAAAUAGAGCUGACAACAACACAGCAAGUAACAUAACUAACGCUCCUAACUGUCCCUGCAGUUGCUGCUGCGAAGCUGCCAGCCAGAGAGGACGAGACGGUUUCCCAGAGCCAGCACACCAGCUCCAGACUCUCCUGCUACUAUAGCAAACAUCACAGCAACAGCACAUCUUGGCAAACUAGAAAGAUACACCUUGAUUAGUGGGCGCUGGAUGGUGAGCAUUGAAGGCGAGAUUGUGUGUGAGGGCACCCAUUUCACCUUCCUGUCUGGCUUUGCUAUGCUUUUUUCACCCUACUACAUAUCCAACCUUGAGUACCAGGAGGAGAUGGCAUGUACAUUGGAGUUCAUUCAAAGUCUCCUGACUCAUCACCCAACACACCUUUGACAAGCCGCACACCUGCAAUUUAUCCACUAAUCAAGCACUGCAGUAUAUCAACCCCACCUUCCUUUCAUCCUCUGGAUCAAGAUCUGGACCUAAAGUACUCUCUGUUUCAUCCCUUUCUUGUUCAGAUGUUUAUGACGUGUUAAAAUAUCUUCAAUGCCUCUGUGGCUUAUUGUAUUGCUUCAUGACCAUGUUGGUCAACUUAUGUAGUUAAAAGAACAUGCACUUUCACUUUGUAUGUUUCUGUAUUGUUUUGAGGACCAUUUUGGUCAAAAUGUGAAGUUAAAAAAAAAAAAGUACAAAAGGAACUCUAUUGUUUUUAAGGCUACUGUAAAUGACUUCACUGCAAUUUGAUUACUUGGGAUUUCCCACAAAGGAGAGGUAGCAGCCCACUUGCCAAUGAUUACAUAGUGAGCAAGAAGUAUGCACUGAAAUGGAAGGAUAAGGAUGGCUUUUUCUGACGUAUGAGACCAGGCAUUUGCACUUGAUCCAUUUCCAGACCACACUAAAUUUGAAACUAUUGUCUUUCCUAUGAUUUCAUGGCCAAAUGGCAGGAUGUCAUGUCAGUGUUUUGUAUCUCCCACUAGAAAAAAAGUUUUGUGCCCGUUUUAGACUUGUGAAAAGUAUAAAAGAGUCCAGUGUCUCUUAUUUCUUUUUCAAUGCAGAACUUCCUGUUUUCCAAUUUUACAACAAAUCCUUGUUUGCGAAAACAUUUUUAUCUCCUGUUCAGCUAAAUACUGUAAUGACAAACACAUCUGGAUCCAUAUAUAAUAUAAUAAUCUGUCUUUUUCUGUAUACAAUCUAGCAGAAGUAGUCAUUUUACAGAUCAAAUGACCACAUUAUGCAACUAAACAUAAUCAUUCACCUAUUGAGUCAUGAGCCAGUAAAGGUUUAUAAUGCGUUGGUGGUCCUGGUCCUACCUGAGGUUUUUAUUUGCCAAAUCGGAAACAAGGCCUCUGUAUAUUUUAUUAAAUUCUUUAUUGAAGUCUUA